rnacentral:rRNA from 1 species
ACAUGUCCGGAACUUGCCAGAGAUGGCUUGGUGCCCGAAAGGGAAUCGGAACACAGGUGCUGCAUGGCUGUCGUCAGCUCGUGUCGUGAGAUGUUGGGUUAAGUCCCGCAACGAGCGCAACCCUUAUCAUUAGUUGCUACGCAAGGGCACUCUAAUGAGACUGCCGGUGACAAACCGGAGGAAGGUGGGGAUGACGUCAAGUCCUCAUGGCCCUUAUGGUAGGGCUUCACACGUCAUACAAUGGUCGGUACAGAGGGUUGCCAAGCCGCGAGGCGGAGCCAAUCCCACAAAGCCGAUCGUAGUCCGGAUUGUUCUCUGCAACUCGAGAGCAUGAAGUCGGAAUCGCUAGUAAUCGCAGGUCAGCAUACUGCGGUGAAUACGUUCCCGGGUCUU